AGCAAUCUCCCACUUGACCUAAAGCCAAUCACCUAUGUGUCUGAUCCCCAUCAGACUCCUGUGACGCUCAAAGACAAUCUGAGACAACGGCUUUAUCAGUGGAUCUGCAAUGUUAUCUUCGGAUGGAACUCUUUCCACUACUACAUCUCCUCGGGUUACGAUCUCUCUUAUAAGCUGGAACCUCCUCAGAACACUUCUGAUGAGACCCGGGUUCCCUUAUUUGAGUAAUUACCCCAUAGUUGUCGCAAUAUAAGGAAGUCGACUUGUCGCUAUCUGUAUCGACUCCCAAAUCUGUGAUGAACUUCUUCACCCAGACUCCCUCCUUUGCUGCAUCCG
rnacentral:lncRNA from 1 species